rnacentral:rRNA from 1 species
GUCCACGCCGUAAACGGUGGGCGCUAGGUGUGGGGGCCAUUCCACGGUCUCUGUGCCGCAGCUAACGCAUUAAGCGCCCCGCCUGGGGAGUACGGCCGCAAGGCUAAAACUCAAAGGAAUUGACGGGGGCCCGCACAAGCAGCGGAGCGUGUGGUUUAAUUCGAUGAUACGCGAAGAACCUCACCCAGGUUUGACAUGCAUGUGGUACUGAUGUGAAAGCUGAGGGACCCUUCGGGGAGCAUGCACAGGUGUUGCACGGCCGUCGU